UUGAUUUCAAUGGGUGACCAGAAGGAAGCUUGAUUACACAGUAGUAUUUCAGGGCCUGUCUCCCCUGCCCCACUUUAAAUAAACAACAUUUUGGAUGGAGAAUUAAGACUGACAAGUGAAUUUUGACUAGGGAUGUGAAUGAGAAGAGAGUGAAUUUCUCCACAUCAGAAUGGAAAAGGCAGAAGGGGCAGUGUGGAUAAAAGCACAGAGACAUGAGUGGGAGAAGAAGGGGUGAAGGGUGAACAAAAAAAAAGAAGUAGAAAGAGGAGAGAAACUGAAACAUACUGUGACGCUGACAGAGACGGCUGUUGCUGCAAUACAGAAGAAUUUUGGAGCACAGCAACUAUAGGUAAUGUUGAAAAACAACCAUGAUAAGGGCAAGACUCUCUGGCCAGAUUACAUUUCCCAUGAGGAACUGCAUUCAUAGGACUCCCAGGAUGAACUUUGGCAGCUCAACAAGAAGAGUGAGUAAUGGAAAAUAUAGUCCUGCGGGGAAAUCCAUCCC